CCUCCGCACCGCAGCUGAGCGGGGGGCCGGGGGCGUCUCUGCUCCCAGAUCAGGCCCAGGGGCGGCGAAGACCCCCUUUAUCCUCGCGCCGGGAAACCCGGUUCUCCCUAGACCUGUUCAAGUCGCGGGGUGUCCCCGGGCCUGUCUUUUCCUUGCAUUCUAGGCCAAGGAAACUGUGUGCACGGGCCUGAAGGCCGCGAGCAGAGGCUGAAGUUUCCACCGCUUCUGUGUGGAGCACAUUGGGGAACAGCCUCCAGCCCUCCUACGUGCGCCCCUUCCAGCCCGACCAGCAGAGCGACCCCCGCAGCAGUCCUGGGCCCGCUGCCGCACUGGGGGUCGUUGGGACUCAAUCCUUGCCCAUGCUGGCUCAAUCUUCCCACCUGUACUUGGAGGGCCGGGCCGGGAAGGCAGAGGACGAGUGGGAUGACGCUCUGACUUCAGGCUACGAGGAGGCUGACUGACACGGGGCUGUGGACGUCCUGCGCACAGUGGGCGCUCUGGGUAAUGGUGCAGAUGCUCAAGAUGCCAGGGUCCCGUCCCCCCAGUGCUGCUCCUCUCCCCACCCAUCCUGGUCCCUCCUAUGGCAGCUGGGGUGGGGCCUUGGCUGAGGACACGCCCACUCUCUCCAGAGCAAAAGAUUCACCAAAACAAAGGCGAUCAAAGAAAGUUAUUUACUGCAGGUCGUCAAGAGUCAGGCCUGGGGCAAGACCUGGGAGGAGAAACGUUCCUGCCAUUCCUGCUGCUGGAAUCAGGCCUGGAGGAGCUGGUAUCCCCAGCCAGGGUCACCAGUACCUGGGAGCACCUUCUUUCCCCAUUUUGCAGACGAGCAGCCUGAGGCCAGAGAGCAGUGGGAACCUGCGCCUCCCAGCCCUUGUCUUUGCCUGCAAAGAGCAGAGGACUGGAAUUCAUGCCAGAAGAUACAGGAACGACCGACACGCAUACGUAAGAUGCUUGGAGUCCAGGAUAUGCAAACGGAAGAACAUGGUAUCACCCCCAGCUCUCAGAAUGGGACUAACGAUGGAUCAUCCUUGAGUAAACUGAGAGAAUAAUCACUUGAAUGAUUUUCUGUGUGCUCCGUUCACAUGGGAAACUGAUUGAGAAGCCGUCUAGCCCGGUUGGAAAAACCUGAGCGUCAGACCCCUGUGAGCUCCUGGCUGGUGGCAGAGGUGCGGCAGCUGGGGAGGCAACCCAGAGAGGGUGUUCAUCCCAGCAGAGAGAAGUUGCUGGCCUGUCCAGGGUAGAAAGGAUCCAGCGUGAACAACUUGCUAUCAGGUGGCUGCUCAGUCUCCUGGAGGGGGACCCCAACAAGAGCGCAGAGGAGUCUCUGUGGCUGGAAGGGCGCGUGGACCAGCGACAAUGGCUGACUACUGUUGGGCCCACGCAGAGCCCCCGCCACCACGGCAGCUCUGCUCGCAAACCCAUUGUGCAAACGCUGGAGGGCUCACCGGCAAGUCAGUCUCCCCUGGUUGUCGCCUCGCUCCUCUGUGGGGGUGCAGACAUGCUGUGCCCACCCUCUGACUUAGUCCCCAGACUUCCUCGUUUUGGGUCGUCCGUUCUUGCUCCUCUCAGGCCCGUGAUCAACCAGCCAAGCUCGUGACGGCCGCCCAGGAAUCCGCACGUGCCCCUUCCUCGGACUGCGUUUCCCUCCCUGCACAACGAGUGAGCGGGUGCACUGCUGCCAGUGCUGCCCUGGGAGCAUACCUCUUCACCUCUGCUUUAGGGAUUCCCGAGGGGCUGUGGGACAGCAGAGGUCCACAUCUGGCCGCAGGCCCACCUGGAAGCCAGGCCUUGAUUUUUCCUGCUCUGUCACUUGACCUCAGGGACGCCUCCCGUGAAGCUACAGGUGGGCAGAGGAAUUGGCGUGAGGCCGAGACAGGUACAGAACAUGCGAGUCUGGGCCCCUCCUUGUGGACCUGUGCCGCAGAGCACCCCCGUCCAUCACAGUGGGUCCCCACCGGACCCGACCACUUUAUGACUCGGCGGAUCUGAUGAGGGGCAGCUCCAGUCACACGGUUACGUGAUGUCCCAUUACCAGACGCUCAGGCCCUGCAGGGCCCCUGUAACAUUCCAGAAGCCGCUCCUAGAACAGCAUGGCCUUGCUGCAGGACUCUGAGCAUCUGCACUGCAACUUCCCAGCAGGGCUGGCCAGGGGCUCCACCCGUGGCUUCUGCACCACCAUCAGAUACAUCUGCAGAUCGGGGGGCCUGAGGGGCAGCCUGACCACAGUCUGAACCUUUUGCAGAGCCUUUUGCUCUGGGCCCUACUCGGAGCUUGCAGUCACCUGGUGAAUGGGUCCAGGCAGCGUUCCGAAGUGUGACGUUUGCUGCAUCCCAGGUCCCAGGAGUCCCCUGAGUGCUGAGCCUCUUUCUUAGUGGUCAGAGGUGUGAGGGGCAAGAGCUUGUCCUUCUCUCCAAAAAAGAUAUCCCAGCAUGCCCCAGACCUUGGCACUCCUCAAAUCUCCACUGCUGAGGCCAGCUGCCCGUGCCUCACGAGGAGGACAGGGUACUUGCACAACGCGCCCCAGGUCCGAUCAGCGUGAUGGCAUCAGUAGAGUGGCUCAGCAAGACGUGUGGUGGCACAUGGAGACUCCGCAGGCUCUUCAUGGCACGUCAUGCUUUUUUCUCUACAAUUAAAUCCAAGUGAAAUUGAAUGCAGUCCUUUAACUUGGUUAAGCUGCCAGCAUAAUACGAUCCAUUUUGAUACCACUGAGCCUGCUCCCCAUUUUCCAACCUUGCUCGGGGUGUGUUCGUGUGAGAGAUACCUGCAAUUACACUCCCUCCAAGAUUAGUGACGAUUAUUUUGGGUGAUGGGAGUUGGGAGUGGUUAUUUAAUUUUUAAAAAAAUUUUUCUGUCAUUUAAAUUUGUAAAAUAAAUAUGUUAAUCAUCACAAAUAAAAAAAAUUUUUUGGCACCUAUGUGAGAUGAUGGAUAUUAACUAAACCUAUUGUGAUAAUAAUUUCACAAUAUAUGUAAGUCAAAUCAUUAUGCUGUACACCUUAAACUUAUACACUGCUGUAUGUCAAUUAUCUCAAUAAAACUGGAAAAAAUAAAAAAGUAAAAAUAAAUAUGUUUUAAAAAGUA